rnacentral:rRNA from 1 species
UGCUGCAUGGCUGUCGUCAGCUCGUGGUACGUCGAGAAUGUUGGGUUAAGUACCCCGUAACGAGCGUCAAACCCUUGUCCCUUAGUUACCGAAGCACCGGUUAUGGUGGGCGAACGUCUAAGGACGACUGCCGGUAGACAACCGGAGGAAGGUGGGGAUGACGUCAAGUCAUCAUGGCCCUUACGGCCUGGGCUACACACGUGCUACAAUGGUCGGUACAAAGGGUUGCCAAGCCGCGAGGUGGAGCUAAUCCCAUAAAACCGAUCGUAGUCCGGAUCGCAGUCUGCAACUCGACUGCGUGAAGUCGGAAUCGCUAGUAAUCGUGAAUCAGAAUGUCACGGUGAAUACGUUCCCGGGCCUU